UUAUGUACCACUUGUAGAGCAAGUUGUUCAUUUCUUUGGUCCAUACAAUAAUUGCAAUCCGUACGUGUCCCCUCACACCUUCAAUUUAUGCAUUCAAAAUCUUAUUAUAAAUACAGCCCAAAAAUGCAUUAGUUUCUUCAUCCCUCAAUUUUCAUAUUUCAUAAGUACUAAGCUUUGAAACAAAAAUAAAAGAAUUAAGAAGAAUGGGUUCCAAGGCAAUUAUGUUUCUUGGUCUUUUUUUGGCUAUUUUCUUAAUGAUAAGCUCUGAGGUUGCAGCUAGGGAGUUGGCAGCUGAGACUUCCAAUGGUAAGCAUUUCUUUUCAUUUGUUCCCUCUCUUAGGGUAUGUUCGAUAAAAAAAAAUAUUUUUCAUGAAAAAUAUUUUGUAAGAAAAUAUAAGUGACUUCUUUAUUUACUUUUUUGUGUUCAAUAUCGUGAUAUAAUCUAGACAGAUAUAUAAUUGGUGGGGUUGGAUGGUGACGGUGGGAUGAAGAUGGGGCGAAGAUAAAUAUGUUUGAUCAUAAAAUUUGUCUACUUUUUGAAAAUUAUUUGAAACAAAAUCCCAAAAUUUCAAUCACUAAUGCUGUAGUUUGAUCAUGACACUUAAUAUAUAUUCUUUUUGUUUCAUGUUAUACGUCUCAAUUACUAUGCAUAAAGUAUAAGAAUAUACCAUAAACUUCCCAAACUUUGCUAAACUAAACUAAAGGUAUGUAAAUUAUAUUAUAAAUGCCCUAUGAGUUUUGUGAUCUUAUGUUACAUUGAAAUUAAAAAAAUUACAAUUAAAUAUAUAUAGGAAGAGGAGUACUCAUUUUGAAAUAUAAUAAAAAGGAAAGUACGACAUAUAAAUUGAAGUGCAAUUCAAAGACUAGUAAUGACUCAUCGUACGUGUUAGCUAGUUUAAUUAAUCUUCACAAUUCAUCGAUGCAGCGGUAAACGUUGAUGGACAUUAUUAUGGAGGCGGCUAUGGUAAGGGCCAUGGAAAACCUAAGAAAUGUUAUAGUUGCUGCAAGAAAUACAAAUAUGGAUGCAAAAAAUACUGCUGCUCUUAUGAAGAAUAUGUGGCUGCCCAGACUCACAACUAAAUAAUUAAUUAUUAUUGUAAACUUUUGAAAUUAAGUGACAAGAUACUAAUAAUCUUGCUACUUAAGACCCUUUGCUUGUAACAAGUAUGAAUAAAGCCAUUCAUUUACAAUGAAUGGUUGGUCAUGAUGUAAUGUUUUGUUGUACAAUAUAUCAUAUUGUGUUAAAAAUGUUUCCCUAAUGUUAAGAUUUUCUUCUUAUUUUUACUUAAGUAUUCUAUCAUCCCUUAAUCAUAUGUUUCAAGAUUGAAUCCUGGUCCGAAUAUAGAAUUGUCUUUGUUACAUAGUAUUUUACUCUAUUUGAAUUUUUUACCGUGAAUCCAAUUUAUUUAAGGCAUCUCUAAUUAAGGAUAUUGAACAUUGAGGGGAAAUUUUAAAAUAUUUAAUUUUCUUGUUAUUUAAUAAAGUAAGGAAAACAAUGCAGAAAAAAAGAAACAAUUUGUUCUUUUCUUUGUAUAAUAUUUAAAAAAAUAUAAUCACAGAAGAAAUAAAAUUAAAGCAUGGGGGACAAACGACUAAUAAUGUCAAAUCAUCACUUAUUUUUUUAUUUCUAAUGAACACUUUAGUCAGGGCUGAAAUCGAAAUUUUAUGAAAACAUCACAACAUAUAAACAAAAAUGAACACAUGAGUAAAUUUUAAUGAUUCAAUAUAUGAUACAAUGUAGUAGCUUUUUUCGACGAAGGAGAGUCAAUUAACAAUAUUAGAUAAGGAUGGUUACAUCAUUAAUAUUCACGAUCACCAUUAAGGGCGUAUUUACCUUAAGCUCGCAAUAUAUAUAUGCAACGUCAACCAAAUAACUCACAUUAGGGGUGUACAAAAAUGAACCGAAAACCGAAUUAAACCGCAAAUCGAGAAAAAAAAAUCCGACUAGUGGUUGGUUUGACUUGGUUUGGUAUUGAAAAAAAAACCCAACUAUAUUUGGGUUGGUUUGGUUUUAACUAAAAAAAACCAACCCGAGACCAAACCAACACGUCAUUAUAUAUAUAAUUUUAAAAUUUAUUUUAUAUUUUAUACAUAAAAAUAUUUACUUUGAAAUAAUUUUUAAAUCUUUCUUAUACUUUUUCAUAGUUUUUAUCUUUUAAUAUAUUAUUNNNNNNNNNNNNNNNNNNNNNNNNNNNNNNNNNNNNNNNNNNNNNNNNNNNNNNNNNNNNNNNNNNNNNNNNNNNNNNNNNNNNNNNNNNNNNNNNNNNNNNNNNNNNNNNNNNNNNNNNNNNNNNNNNNNNNNNNNNNNNNNNNNNNNNNNNNNNNNNNNNNNNNNNNNNNNNNNNNNNNNNNNNNNNNNNNNNNNNNNNNNNNNNNNNNNNNNNNNNNNNNNNNNNNNNNNNNNNNNNNNNNNNNNNNNNNNNNNNNNNNNNNNNNNNNNNNNNNNNNNNNNNNNNNNGAAAACAAAAAUACAGAAUGAUUAUUAUGAAAAAAAUAAGUGAACAAAUGGGGUUCUUUUGUAUAUUUUAUUUUUUGUUAUUGCUGAAUUUGCCGAACUUUUACAGCUUGUUUGAGUACUUGUUACCUAUAUAGUUGUAUUUUGGUGGCGAAAUGGUCUAAUAGACCCCUGUACUUGUAUGAGUUUGUAUUGUGAACCCUUCUACUUAACUCUUUAUCAAUUGAACCCUUAAACUUAUAAAACACAAUUUAUCAAACCCCUCUGACCAUUGACUAGGCUUAUGUGGCAUCAAUAUGGUUGAGUUGGCAAGAGUGUGUGAAUUCACUCUCGUUAAGGCGAGUGAUAUCCUAUUUAAGUUUUAAAAAAUAUUAAAAAAUUAAAAAAAAAUAAAACAAUAAAACAAAAAAACUUUAAAAAAAAUAACUAAAAAAGGCUUUCUUCUUCCGCCAACAGGUUCACAUCCAUUUUUGGCCAUCUCCAUCCCUGUCCAAUCCAUUUUUCUUUCUUCUUCACACUCUUGUCAUCUUCUUUAGCAGAUCUUCGCAUUGGCACCUAGAGAGAGACGACGCAGGUCAGUGGAAGAAGAACGAGGCGGUUGAGGGUAGGAUCUGGUCACGACAGCGAAGAGGUUUUUCGGUCAGAUCUGGUGGCCAUGGUGCGACGGAGAUGAAGACGGGUGAGGAAGAGGGCACGUAUGGUCGCCGGCAAGAGUUGCGACGACGACUGAGACGGCGGCGAGGAGCCUCCUAGAAUAUUUGUAUGCCGGAGACAGUAAGGGGUUUCUUGGCCUUCUGAUACUCCGGAGAGGAUGAAGAGCAUAUCGGUCGGUGAUGGUGAGGGGAGAGAAGCUAGUGCGGUGGCUUAGGGUUUCUAGAUUUGUGGAGGUUAGAGAAGGAGAAAAGAAAAUGGUAAGGGUGUGCGAUGAAGAUGGAGGUUGGUGGGGAGAUCGUAUUUGUGGUCUCGCCGGCAAGAGGAGCGGCAACAGCAGCGACUUUUUCCGACAGUUGGGCCAUUUCACGGUGAAAAUGGAAGAUGAUGUGAGGAGACCCAAACUUUUAAUUUAAAAUAAUAAAUUAAAAUUUAAUUUGUCAAAAUUACAUCAAAACUUUAUGAUUUUUCUUUUGUUAAAAAAGAAAUUAUUAUAUAAAAAAAAAAUGAUGUGGCAAAUUUUAUCUGACAUAGCGUAUGACAUUAGCGUGAUUGAGAAUCACGAUGAGUUGAAAGGGUUCAAUAGGUUGAGUUUAGAUGGGUUCAGGGGUCCAUAUGACAAAGAGGUAAGUAGAAGAAUUCACAAUACAAACGCAUACAAGUACAAGGGUCCACCAGAUCAUUUUGCCUAUUUUGGUAGGACUAAAGAAAUAUUUGAAGUACAAGUAAAUUAUAUGUUCGUAUGAAUACUUUACCGGAAAAACCCGAAAAAUCCGAGGUUGAAAAACCCGAGUUUUAUUGAUUUGGUUUGGUUUAUAGAUUUAAAAAUUCAACACAAAUGGUUGGAUUUGAUAAUUGAAAAAUCCGAACCAACCCGGUCAUGUACACCCCUAACUCACAUGAUUAUGAAUCAAGGAAAAGAAUAAAUAAUUUUCGUCAUGUUGUGCAAAAAUAUAUAUUUCUAAUCUUAUUAAUAUUAGGUUAGGGGGAAACCUUUUUUGGGUUAUUUAUUAUUUCUAUCUAUAUUUUGUGUAUAUAUAUAAAAAAAAAAUUGCAUAAUAUAUAAACGUAUCCUUUAAUUUGGUCUCAACUGACAUCUAGCCCUCCAACUUUGGAUGUGCACAAGUAGGGACUUAAACUUGUAUAGAGUUGAACAAGUAGACACACUAGUCCUACGUGACAUAAUACGCAUAGGACACCAUGUACGACACAAAUUAUCAUGUAGGACAUGUAUAUCUACUUGUUCUAUUAUAUAUAAACUUAAGUGUUUACCAUUAGUACACAUCCAAAAUUAAAGGUUAUAAAUAUCGAUUAAGGUCAAAAUAAAAUAAUAUUUUCAUGUAUUAUACUUGUUUUUUUAGAAGACUUUUCUUGAGUUAUAAAGCAAUAAAGAGAGUUGGCCCCUCUUAUUUAACUUGAUACGUUGUACAUUAAAAGAGUCAUUAAAUACGUCAUUUAAAGUCUUUGAGUAUUGACCAAAUCCAAGAGUAUAUAUACACCACUAUUUCUAGAUAUUUUAGGAUAAGGUAGUCCUACAAGUUAGCAUAUUUUAAAUUACUUUUUUGCAUAACUAUCCAAAAAUAUACUAUUAACACGACGAUUUAUUAUCGAAAUAUAUAAUACCCAUCACAUGCAUAUUAUUUUUUAAAGUUAUUUUAAUGUUUGAUUUUCUACUAAGUAUUAAUCUUUGUUUUUAGUUUGUUUUGUCGGAUGGUGUACGUAAGCCACUUGGUCAUAUUGAUGUGAUAUAUUUACAAAUAUUUUUUCGAAAAAAUAAGUAAAUUUUUAUCUAUUCUUAUGUUUUUUUAUAGGGAAAAAGUCUGAAAUAUAUUCGAACUUUAGCCAUUCUACUUAAUUUUACUAAUGGUGUUAUAGUAUUAACGUAUGUACUUGUGCCUUUCUACUUUUACUAAUGGUGUUUUGAUUAUUUUUAACUUUUAAUUUGAUUAUUUUGAAUAUUUAAGAUUUGUAAAAUACAAACAGAUACAAUUUAUAAAUAUUAUGUUUUUUUCAUCUUAACAAAAUAUUACUUACGACUCCACCAUAAAAUCAACACUCUAUUUAUCUACCACUUGUAGAGCAAGUUGUUCAUUUCUUUGGUCCAUACAUAAUUGCAAUCCGUAUAUGUAUCCCCUCACACCUCUAAUUAUUUAUGCAUUCAAAUCUUAUUAUAAAUAGAGCCCAAAAAUGCAUUAGUUUCUUCAUCCCUCAAUUUUCAUAUUUCAUAAGUACUAAGUUUUGAACAAAAGAAAAAUUAAAAAGAAUGGGUUCCAAGGCAAUUAUGUUUCUUGGUCUUUUUUUGGCUAUUUUCUUAAUGAUAAGCUCUGAGGUUGCAGCUAGGGAGUUGGCAGCUGAGACUUCCAAUGGUAAGCAUUUCUUUUCAUUUGUUCCCUCUCUUAGGGUGUGUUCGAUAAAAAAAAAAUGUUUUCAUGAAAAAUAUUUUGUAAGAAAAUAUAAGUGACUUCUUUAUUUACUUUGUUGUGUUUAAUAUUGUGAUAUAAUCUAGAUAAAUAUAUAAUUGGUGGGGUUGGAUGAUGACGGUGGGAUGAGGAUGGGGGAAGAUAAAUAUGUUUGAUCAUAAAAUUUGUCUACUUUUUGAAAAUUAUUGGAAACGAAAUCCCAAAAUUUCAAUUAAUAAUGCUAUAGUUUGAUCAUGACACUAAAUAUACAUUCCUUUUGUUUCAUUUUAUAUGUCUCAAUUACUAUGCAUAAAGUUUAAGAAUAUACCAUAAACUUUCCAAUCUUUGCUAAACUAAACUAAAGGCGUGUAAAUUAUAUUAUAAAUGUCCUAUGAAUUUUGUGAUCUUAUGUUACAUUGGAAUUAAAAAAAUUAAUUACAAUUAAAUAUAUAUAGUUAAUGGAGUACUCAUUUUGAAAUAUAAUAAAAAGGAAAGUACGACAUAUAAAUUGAAGCUCAAUUCAGAGACUAGUCAUAACUCAUCGUACGUGUUAGCUAGUUUAAUUAAUCUUCACAAUUCAUCGAUGCAGCGGUAAACGUUGAUGGACAUUAUUAUGGCGGUGGCUAUCACGAGGGCUAUGGAAAACCUAAGAAAUGUCAUAGUUGCUGCAAAAAAUACAAUAUGGAUGCAUAAAAUACUGCUGCUCUUAUGAAGAAUAUGUGGCUGCCCAGACUCACAACUAAAUAAUUAAUUGUGUGUAUUAUUAUUGUAAACUUUUGAAAUUAAGUGACAAGAUAAUAAUAAUCUUGUUACUUAAGACCCUUUGCUUGUAACAAGUAUGAAUAAAGCCAUUCAUUUACUAUGAAUGGUUGGUCAUGAUGUAAUGUUUUGUUGUACAAUAUAUCAUAUUGUGUUAAAAAAUGUUUCCCUAAUGUUAAGAUUUUCUUCUUAUUUUUACUUUAAGUAUUAUAUUCUAUCAUCCUUUAAUCAUAUAUUUCAGGAUUGAAUCCUGAUCCGAAUAUAGAAUUGUCUUUGUUACAUAGUGUUUUACUUGAUCUGAAUUUUUUAACGUGAAUCCAAUUUAUUUAAGGCAUCUCUAAGGAUAUUGAACAUCGAGGGGAAAAUUUAAAAUAUUUAAUUUUCUUGUUAUUUAAUAAAGUAAGGAAAACAAUGCAGAAAAAAGAAACAAUUUGUUCUUUUCUUUGUCUAAUAUUUUUUAAAAGUAUAAUCACAGAAGAAAUAAAAUUAAAGCAUGGGGGACAAAAGACUAAUAAUGUCAAAUCAUCACUUAUUUUUUGAUUUCUAAUGAACACUCUAGUCAGGGCUGAAAUCGAAAUUUUAUGAAAACAUCACAAUAUAAACAAAAAUAAACACAUGAGUAAAUUUUAAUGAUUCAAUAUAUGAUACAAUGUAGUAACUUUUUUCGACGAAGGAGAGUCAAUUAACACUCUUAGAUAAGGAUGGUUACAUCAUUAAUAUUCACGAUCACCAUUAGGGGCGGAUUUACCUUAAGCUCGCAAUGCCAUCUAGCUAUUAGUCAUGCAUGGAAAAUAAAUUUUCUUAUGCACAUGAUCAACUAAAUAAAUAUCGUAUUAUUUAGAAAAGAUUUAUAUAUAUAUAUGCAACAUCAACCAAAUAACUCACAAUCUCACAUGAUUAUUAAUCAGGGAAAAGAUUAAAUAAUUUUCGUCAUGUUGUGCAAAAAUAUAUAUUUCUAAUCUUAUUAAUAUUAGGUUAGGGGGGGAAACCGUUUUUUUGGGUUAUUUAUUAUUUCUAUCUAUAUUUUGUGUAUAUAUAUAAAAAAAAAUUAGCAUAAAAUAUAAACGUAUCCUUUAAUUUGGUCUCAACUGACAUCUAGCCCUCCAACUUUGGAUGUGCACAAGUAGAGACUUAAACUUGUAUAGAGUUGAACAAGUAGACACACUAAUCCUACAUGACAUAAUACGUGUAGGACCGCAUGUACGACACAAAUUAUCAUGUAGAACAUGUGUGUUUACUUAUUCUAUUAUAUAUAAAGUUAAGUGUUUACCAUUAGUACACAUUCAAAAUUAAAGGUUAUAAAUAUCGGUUAAGGUCAAAAUAAAAUAAUAUUUUCAUGUAUUAUACUUGUUUUUUUAGUAAGACUUUUCUUGAGUUAUAAAGCAAAUGAAGAGAGUUGGCCCCUCUUAUUUAACUUGAUACGUUGUACAUUAAAUACGUCAUUUAAAGUCUUUGAGUAUUGACCAAAUCCAAGAGUAUAUAUACACCACUAUUUCUAGAUAUUUUAGGAUAAGGUAGUCCUACAUGUUAGCAUAUUUUAAAUUACUUUUUUGCAUAACUGUCCAAAAAUAUACUAUUAACACGACGAUUUAUUAUCGAAAUAUAUAAUACCCAUCACAUGCAUAUUAUUUUUUAAAGUUAUUUUAAUGUUGUUUGAUUAUCUACUAAGUAUUAAUCUUUGUUUUUAGUUUGUUUUGUCGGACGGUGUACGUAAGCCACUUGGUCAUAUUGAUGUGAUAUAUUUACAAAUAUCUUUUCGAAAAAAUAAGUAAAUUUUUAUCUAUUCUUAUUUUUUUUAUAGGGAAAAAAGACUGAAAUAUAUACAAACUUUGGCCAUUCUACUUUUAAUAAUGGUGUUAUAGUAUUAACGUAUGUACUUGUGCCUCUCUACUUUUACUAAUGGUGUUUCGAUAUUUUUAACUUUUAAUUUGAUUAUUUUGAAUAUUUAAGAUUUGUAAAAUACAAACAAAUACAAUUUAUAAAUAUUAUGUUUUUUUCAUCUUAACAAAAUAUUACUUACGACUCCACCAUAAAAUCAACACUCUAUUUAUCUGCCACUUGUAGAGCAAGCUCAUUUCUUUGGUCCAUAAAAUAAUUGCAAUCCGUACAUGUGUCCCCUCACACCUCUAAUUAUUUAUGCAUUCAAAUCUUAUUAUAAAUGAGCCCAAACAUGCAUUAGUUUCUUCAUCCCUCAAUUUUCAUAUUUCAUAAGUACUAAGUUUUGAACAAAAGAAAAAUUAAAAAGAAUGGGUUCCAAGGCAAUUAUGUUUCUUGGUAUUUUUUUGGCUAUUUUCUUAAUGAUAAGCUCUGAGGUUGCAGCUAGGGAGUUGGCAGCUGAGACUUCCAAUGGUAAGCAUUUCUUCUCAUUUGUUCCCUCUCUUAGGGUGUGUUCGAUAAAAAAAAAUGUUUUUCAUGAAAUAUAUUUUGUAAGAAAAUAUGAAUGACUUCUUUAUUUACUUUUUUGUGUUCAAUAUUGUGAUAUAAUCUAGACAGAUAUAUAAUUGGUGGGGUUGGAUGGUGAGGGUGUGGGGAUGAGGAUGGGGGCGAAGAUAAAUAUGUUUGGUCAUAAAAUUUGUCUACUUUUUAAAAAUUAUUGGAAACCAAAUCCAAAAAUUUCAAUCACUAAUGCUAUAGUUUGAUCAUGACAUUUAAUAUACAUUCCUUUUGUUUCAUUUAAUAUAUGUCUCAAUUACAAGGCAUAAACCUUCCAAUCUUUGCUAAACUAAACUAAAGGUGUGUAAAUUAUAUUAUAAAUGUCCUACGAAUUUUGUGAUCUUUUGUUACAUUGAACUUAAAAAAUAUACAAUUAAAUAUAUAUAGGAAAAGGAGUACUCAUUUUGAAAUAUAAUAAAAAGGAAAGUACGACAUAUAAAUUGAAGCUCAAUUCAGAGACUAGUCAUGACUCAUCGUAUGUGUAAGCUAGUUUAAUUAAUCUUCACAAUUCAUCGAUGUAGCGGUCAACGUUGAUGGACAUUAUCAUGGUGGCGGCUAUGGUAAGGGCUAUGGAAAACCUAAAAAAUGUUAUAGUUGCUGCAAGAAAACCAAAUAUGGAUGCAAAAAAUACUGCUGCUCUUAUGAAGAAUAUGUGGCUGCCCAGACUCACAACUAAAUAAUUAAUUGUGUGUAUUAUUAUUGUAAACUUUUGAAAUUAAGUGACAAGAUAAUAAUAAUCUUGCUACUUAAGACCCUUUGCUUGUAACAAGUAUGAAUAAAGCCAUUCAUUUACUAUGAAUGGUUGGUCAUGAUGUAAUGUUUUGUUGUACAAUAUAUCAUAUUGUGUUAAAAAUGUUUCCCUAAUGUUAAGAUUUCCUUCUUAUUUUUACUUAAGUAUUCUAUCAUCCUUUAAUCAUAUGUUUCAGGAUUGAAUCCUGAUCCGAAUAUAAAAUCGUCUUUAUUACAUAGCUUUUACUCGAUCUGAAUUUUUUACCGUGAAUCCAAUUUAUUUAAGGCAUCUCUAAUUAAGGAUAUUGAACAUUGAGGGGAAAAAUUUAAAAUAUUUAAUUUUCU
rnacentral:lncRNA from 1 species